UAUCAGCAUAUGACGAAUGUCGCAAAGCGUGCAUUAAAUUCCCAGUAUGCAUGAUGUGAUAUUUUAUCUGAUGCUCCUUCUUGAAUGCCUGCAAAAUGAAUGGAUCACAGGUUUGCAAUGUGGCAAAAACAGGUCGGAUUGCUGCUCAGGCUAUGUGUUCAACAAAACCAAAAACACAUGUGUUGUGUGUCCUGACGGAUAUUAUGGUCUUCACUGCAAGGAGACAUGUCCAUUUCCUUCCUAUGGGAUUUCAUGUCGCCAUCAAUGUACAUGUGAAAUGCAUCAGUGCAAUAACAUAAAAGGAUGCUCUUCAGAAACAAGUACUGGUAAGGAAUAGAAUGUGUGUAGUUUGCUCAGAUAAUAUAUACAAGCAGUUGUUCAUUUU